GACGAACGCUGGCGGCGUGCUUAACACAUGCAAGUCGAACGGAAAGGCCCUGCUUUUGUGGGGUGCUCGAGUGGCGAACGGGUGAGUAACACGUGAGUAACCUGCCCUUGACUUUGGGAUAACUUCAGGAAACUGGGUCUAAUACCGGAUAGGAGCUCCUGCUGCAUGGUGGGGGUUGGAAAGUUUCGGCGGGUGGGGAUGGACUCGCGGCUUAUCAGCUUGUUGGUGGGGUAGUGGCUUACCAAGGCUUUGACGGGUAGCCGGCCUGAGAGGGUGACCGGCCACAUUGGGACUGAGAUACGGCCCAGACUCCUACGGGAGGCAGCAGUGGGGAAUAUUGCACAAUGGGCGGAAGCGUGAUGCAGCAACGCCGCGUGCGGGAUGACGGCCUUCGGGUUGUAAACCGCUUUCGCCUGUGACGAAGCGUGAGUGACGGUAAUGGGUAAAGAAGCACCGGCUAACUACGUG
rnacentral:rRNA from 1 species